UCCAGUUUGUCACUGGCAGUAUCCUUAAAGUUCCCGGCUUAACCCGCUGGCAAAUAAGGAAAAGGGUUGCGCUCGUUGCGGGACUUAACCCAACAUCUCACGACACGAGCUGACGACAGCCAUGCAGCACCUGUAUGUGAAUUCCCGAAGGCACUCCCGCAUCUCUGCAGGAUUCUCACUAUGUCAAGACCAGGUAAGGUUCUUCGCGUUGCAUCGAAUUAAACCACAUGCUCCACCGCUUGUGCGGGCCCCCGUCAAUUCAUUUGAGUUUUAACCUUGCGGCCGUACUCCCCAGGCGGUCUACUUAUCGCGUUAACUGCGCCACUAAAGUCUCAAGGACCCCAACGGCUAGUAGACAUCGUUUACGGCGUGGACUAC
rnacentral:misc_RNA from 1 species